rnacentral:rRNA from 1 species
GAUGAACGCUGGCGGCGUGCCUAAUACAUGCAAGUCGAGCGAACAGACGAGGAGCUUGCUCCUCUGACGUUAGCGGCGGACGGGAGAGUAACACGUGGAUAACCUACCUAUAAGACUGGGAUAACAUCGGGAAACCGGAGCUAAUACCGGAUAAUAUAUUGAACUUCAUGGUUCAAUAGUCAAAGACGGUUUUGCUUUCACUUAUAGAUGGACCCGCGCCGCAUUAGCUAGUUGGUAAGGUAACGGCUUACCAAGGCAACGAUGCGUAGCCGACCUGAGAGGGUGAUCGGCCACACUGGAACUGAGGCACGGUCCAGACUCCUACGGGAGGCAGCAGUAGGGAAUCUUCCGCAAUGGGCGAAAGCCUGACGGAGCAACGCCGCGUGAGUGAUGAAGGUCUUCGGAUCGUAAAACUCUGUUAUUAGGGAAGAACAAAUGUGUAAGUAACUAUGCACGUCUUGACGGUACCUAAUCAGAAAGCCACGGCUAACUACGUG